AGGCCCGCACCAGUCAGUGAAGCAAUCCAGCACAACCAGCGUGUCCUUGGG
rnacentral:SRP_RNA from 13 species